rnacentral:rRNA from 1 species
AGAGUUUGAUCCUGGCUCAGAACGAACGCUGGCGGCGUGGAUAGACAUGCAAGUCGAGCGAGAUUUUCGUUGUAGCAAUACGAUGGAAAGUCUAGCGGCGAACGGGUGCUUAACACGUGGGCAACCUGCCAUGAAGUGGGGGAUAGCUCGCCGAAAGGCGAAUUAAUACCGCAUGUGAUUAGAGAGGACNNCCUUUCGAAAUUAAAGUCGGGGCAACCUGACGCUUCUUGUGGGGCCCGCGGCCUAUCAGCUAGUUGGUGAGGUAACGGCUCACCAAGGCUUUGACGGGUAGCUGGUCUGAGAGGACGACCAGCCACACUGGGACUGAGACACGGCCCAGACACCUACGGGUGGCAGCAGUCGAGAAUUUUUGACAAUGGGGGAAACCCUGAUCGAGCGACGCCGCGUGGAGGAUGAAGGUCUUCGGAUUGUAAACUCCUGUCAUUUGGGAACAAGGUGCACACGUUAACUGCGUGAGUAUUGAUAGUACCAGAAGAGGAAGGGACGGCUAACUCUGUGCCAGCAGCCGCGGUAAUACAGAGGUCUCAAGCGUUGUUCGGAUUCAUUGGGCGUAAAGGGUGCGUAGGCGGCGCGGUAAGUCGGGUGUGAAAUCUCGGAGCUUAACUCCGAAACUGCAUUCGAUACUGCCGUGCUUGAGGACUGGAGAGGAGACUGGAAUUUACGGUGUAGCGGUGAAAUGCGUAGAUAUCGUAAGGAAGACCAGUGGCGAAGGCGGGUCUCUGGACAGUUCCUGACGCUGAGGCACGAAGGCCAGGGGAGCAAACGGGAUUAGAUACCCUAGUAGUCC